rnacentral:rRNA from 1 species
UCGUGUCGUGAGAUGUUGGGUUAAGUCCCGCAACGAGCGCAACCCUCACCCCUUGUUGCCAUCAGGUGAUGCUGGGCACUCUAGGGGAACUGCCCCGGUCAACGGGGAGGAAGGCGGGGAUGACGUCAAGUCAUCAUGCCCCUUACGCCCUGGGCUACACACGUGCUACAAUGGCCGGUACAAAGGGAUGCAAUACCGCGAGGUGGAGCUAAACCCAAAAAGCCGGUCUAAGUUCAGAUUGGAGUCUGCAACUCGACUCCAUGAAGGAGGAAUCGCUAGUAAUCGC